rnacentral:misc_RNA from 1 species
UUGCCAGAGAAAUCAAUUGCCCAACAGACCCAAGAGAGAAACACCUGAAAUUCAAGAUUCCUCUCUGCCAUGUCCAAACCUUGCACUAGAAAACUCCUCAAACGAAACCUUUUUAAUUUAUGAUAGUCAGAGAACUAACCUUGUGCAUUGGUCAACAAUUCAUCAACAUACUCCUGAUAGAAACAUAUGCAACUACAAUAAUGAAAAUCUCGGCGCCCCAUUUUCCAUGAGCUUUAAUUAAGAGACCAAAGCUUGCUUUUGAGCAUUAGAUCACCAUCUUCCAUAAUGCAGAAUCAUUCACAAUAUUACUGAAAAGAAUAUGGAUGCAAGUGUCAGCUUAUAAAAGAUUCUAAAAUUCAAUCAAUUGGAUCCAUACCAAUCACUGGCCAUUCACUUGCAUAACGCCACAUAUUCCACAAUAUGAUAAUGAAUACAUUUAAGAGGAAAAAUAAGAAAUAAGGAAAAAUAUGGCAAGUGCACAGCCAUAAGAAGAUAAAUGAGUUUGCGGCUUCAAGCACUUAAGGCCUGACUGCCUGGAUCUGCACACAGGGGCACACUCAAGGGAACCCCUACUAUCCUAUUUGAAUAGGUGUUAUGAGAAGCAUGAAGAUAUGAGCAAGAGCACCGCUUGAGUUCCACCCAGAUGAGUCAUAUUGACCGUGUUGUCUACAUACAUGGGACAUUGGAUCACCGUCUAGCAACACAGAAUCUGCAUUCCCCUCCCACAAGUGCAGCUCCAGAUUUAUGUAUGUUCGAUAUAAAUAAUAUACACAAGUUUCAGGGUGAACAGCAAAUCAAAUAACAGGCAGCUCUCUCAAAUGGCUGUCAGUACUAGAUGUUAUAUUCAGCAUAGAGCAAAUAAAAUAGAUAAUGCAAGCAAGUACCCUUUCAACUUGACAGAAGUGUACAUCCCUUUGCUUUCAAUUUUGAUUCCAGACCAAAAAAUUUCAAUCCUGACACCACCAAGUCUGCUGUCUUCCUCUUCAUAUGUUCAAUUAAUAUUUCAUCAUAAACAAUUGUCUUGGCUUCUGUCAGAAGUUUGCGCUCUCUCAAAUUUGUAAACACUUUCCGUGCCUCUUCCAAUGUCCCAUGCCUGCACAUGCCAGAGAUAAUAGCUGAAUGUAUGACCUCAUUGGGAGGACAACCCUCCUGCAUCAUCUCAUUCAGCACUUCGAUCACUUUUUCAGCCUCACCUAAUUUACAUACAUGAAGAAUUGUAAGAGUGUACUUGAACUCCAUGGGCCCACUUGUAACAUUGCCUAAGCAGUCACGAACCAGCAUCAUGGCUUCAUCAAUCUCUCCAAUGUUACAAAGCCCUUUAGCAAGAGAACAAUAGGCAGCAACAGAUGGGACACCAGACAUCUCAAUUAUUUUAUUAUGACACAUACAAGCCUCUUUCAUAUUUCCAUCUUCAACAAAACAUAUAAUUGCAAUGCUGUAAGUAGUUGAGUCAGGUUCAAAAUUCAAAUUCUUCAUUUCAUUGAAAAGUGAUAAUGCCUUUUUCACCUCACCAAUCUUGAGGAGUCCCUCCAUAAGAAUAUUGUAGAUUGGAACGCUGCUAUAACCUUUCACUUUUAAGUCCUCAAACACAUCCAAGGCCAACAUAAUCCUUUCCUUCUUCCCAACCACAAAUGAGAAGAAUUUGGAAAUAUCAUCAAUAACAGAAAAUCCCAACUUAUCCAUCUCCUCAAGCAGCUUGCAAAAAUCAUCCAUCCUUUUCAUCUCCGCAUAAGACACCAACAUGGGAUUCACUGUCUUAAAGUCUGGCUCAAGACCCUCUUGAUCCAAAACUUGAAAAAGAUUAUGAGCCUUAUCUACCCGCUUCACAUUACAGAGACCUUCAAUAAGUGAAUUAUAAAUUCUCAAAUCAGCCCUAUAGCCAGAAUCAACCAAAUCCUUGAACAAAUCACAAGCUGAUCCAACCUUUCCAUUCUCCACGAAUGCCUCAAUCAGUAUUCCAUAAAUCGCUCUAUCAAUCAAAAUUCCCUUCUCCUUCAUCUCCUUAAACAACUCAUACCCCUUCACUACCCUCCCUCCUUUAUACAACCCGGUAACUAAAGUCACAUAAGCCAUCACAUCUGGAUUCACCCCAUCUUUCUUCAUCUCCUCCCAAACCUGCAAACUUCCAUCUAAAUUACCUUCUCCAACCAACACCUUGACCAUAGCUGUGUAUGCAAAAACAUCCGGUUUACACACAUUCAUCCUCAUUCUUUCUAAAAGUUCCAUCGCUUCCUCUAUCCUGUUGACCUUACACAAUCCCUUGAUCAGCGUCAUAUAUGUAACACUGUCUUCCACCAACCCGUUACUCUUAAAAUCCUCAUACACUGAUAAUGCUAAAUCUAAAUGACCCGUUUUAAUUAAAGCAUCAAUAACUCUAUUAUACAAGAAAGUACGGGGUUUGACACCGAAUUUCUUCAUCUUUUGAUAUACAUAAUAAACUCUAAGUCCCCUAUUCGCAUCAGAAUGCAUUCUAAUUAAAAUCUCAAAUUGUUUCUCGGUAGGUGGCUUCCCUUGUGAAUCCAUUAACUCAGGUAACUGAUCAGCAGCGCGAAAUAAGCUGCUUCUAUUCAAACAAUAAGCAAAAGCAUUAUAAGAAGCGAAAUUGUGGUUGUACCCUUUCUGCUUACCUGCCCAGUGAAAGAAUUUGGACGCCAGGUGAGGGUUAGUUUCGACUUUCAGCACUUCGGCAACCAGGUCCGGCGUCACUCGGCGAAGCUUGCGUAAUUCAGUUACCACGGGUGGGCCCCAAUGGUUGCCGUUCUUCCGAAAGGCGUCGAGGAUGAAGCGAGAGAUUGGAGAGAGGCGUUGGGAAACUCUGGUAAGGGAAUGGUUGGGGGCUAAAGGGGGGGACUUGGAGCGUGGUGGAAGUGAUGGAUUUUGGGGGUCCCAUUUUUGGAGGUCAAAUGGUGCAAAAUGAGAAGUGGGUUUUGGUGGUUUUAUUAUCUGGCGGUUGGAGAAGAGGCCUCCGCGGACGACAGGACGGUUUUGGGAAGGCUUACGAUGGCCGUAGAAGAAGUAUGGUUUAACAGGUUUUGAUGGUGGCAUUUCGUCGGUUAUUUGAUCCCUUCCAUUUCUCAAAUCUCCGAGGGUUUCAGUUUAAGCAGAGGGAUACUAAUU